rnacentral:rRNA from 1 species
UACAGAGACUGCAAGCGUUAUUCGGAUUCACUGGGCGUAAAGGGUGCGCAGGCGGUCGGGUGUGUCAGAUGUGAAAUCCCGAGGCUCAACCUCGGAACUGCGUCUGAAACUACUCGACUAGAGUACUGGAGAGGGUAACGGAAUUCACGGUGUAGCAGUGAAAUGCGUAGAUAUCGUGAGGAACACCAGAAGCGAAGGCGGUUACCUGGACAGUUACUGACGCUCAGGCACGAAAGCAUGGGGAGCAAACAGG